rnacentral:rRNA from 1 species
GGAUGCGAUCAUACCAGCCCUAAAGCAUCGGAUCCCAUCAGAACUCCGAAGUUAAGCGUGCUUGGGCGAGAGUAGAACUAGGAUGGGUGACCUCCUGGGAAGUCCUCGUGUUGCAUCCCUC